GACGAACGCUGGCGGCGUGCUUAACACAUGCAAGUCGAACGAUGAAGAAGAGAAACGCGAACUUCGGUUCAAAUUUCACUUCGGAUUAGUGGCAGACGGGUGAGUAACGCGUGAGCAACCUACCUCUUACAAAGGGAUAGCCUCGGGAAACCGUGAUUAAUACCAUAUGACACAUUCAUAAGGCAUCUUAAGAAUGUUAAAGCUACGGCGGUAAGAGAUGGGCUCGCGUCCCAUUAGCUAGUUGGUGAGGUAACGGCCCACCAAGGCGACGAUGGGUAACCGGCCUGAGAGGGUGAACGGUCACAUUGGAACUGAGACACGGUCCAAACUCCUACGGGAGGCAGCAGUGGGGAAUAUUGCACAAUGGAGGGAUCUCUGAUGCCGCGACGCCGCGUGAGCGAUGAAGGAAUUCGUAUCGUAAAGCUCUGUUCUAUGGGAAGAAAAGGACUGUACCAUAGGAGAAAGCCCCGGCUAAAUACGUG
rnacentral:rRNA from 1 species